ACCAUUGUAGAUAAAUAUGUUGUAUUUGAAAUACAAAUACAAGCAACAAACAAUGUAACUAUGUGCAAUGUAAAACAUGAAUAAUGUAGGAGGAAUUGCCACAGAGGAAGUGUUCACUAUAAUCAUAUUCUGUAUAAGGAAAAAAAACAAAGGGCCAUAAUUAACUAAAAAUUAUUCAAUCACAAAACCCCGACAAUAUGCGCCAGGGCACUGGAUGACAAAGCUACUGUGAAAGUUUGAACAAAAUCCGUUGAGAAAUGUAGGAGUUCAGCACAGAAAAUUUUUUUCACUA